AAAAAGUUUUAUAGUUUAGGAAAUUUAUUUUAAAUUUAUUUUACAUAUAAAUUUUAGUGUUAAAUUUUAAUUAUUUAAAAAAUAAUUAAAAUUUUAAUAAUGUAGUAAUUAAUAUUAAAAAUUUAAGAAAUUAAGAUUUAGUUAUAUUAAAAUUAGUAACAAAUUUUGUGCCAGCAGUUGCGGUUAUACAAAAGUUAAAUUAAAUUUUGUAGGUAAUUAAUUAAUAAAUAAGGAAUAGAAUAUAUUAAAAAUUUUAAAUUAUUAAGUGAAAUUUUAAUUUAAUUAAAAUUUAUAAUGAAAUUAUGAUUUAAUAAAUUUUAUAAAAAACUAGGAUUAGAUACCCUAUUAUUAAAAUUUAAAUUUAUAAUACUAAAAUAGUAAAUAAUAUUUUAUUGAAACUUAAAUAAGUUGGCGGUAUUUUAGUUCAUUUAGAGGAAUCUGUUUAAUAAUUGAUAAUCCACGAAUAAAUUUACUUAAUUUAUUAUUUUGUAUAUCGUUGUUAAAAAAAUAUUUUUUAAUAAAAAUAAUAUUUUAAAUUUUUUAUAUAUAAAUUUAAAUCAGAUCAAGAUGCAGAUUAUAAUUAAGAAUAUAAUGGAUUACAAUAAAUUAAUUUAAAUGAAUAUUAAUUUUUAAAAAUUAAUUGAAAGUGGAUUUAAAUGUAAUUUUAUUUAAUUUAAUAAAAUGAUUAAAAAUUAAAAUAUGUACAUAUUGCCCGUCGCUUUCAUAUAAUAAAAUAUAUUUAUUAAUAUAUUAAAAUUGAAAUAAGUCGUAACAAAGUAGGGGUACUGGAAAGUGUUUCUAGAAAGA
rnacentral:rRNA from 1 species